UGGGGAAUAUUGGACAAUGGGCGAAAGCCUGAUCCAGCGAUGCCGCGUGAGUGAUGAAGGCCUUAGGGUUGUAAAGCUCUUUUACAUACGACGAUAAUGACGGUAGUAUGGGAAUAAGCACCGGCUAACUUCGUGCCAGCAGCCGCGGUAAUACGAAGGGUGCUAGCGUUGUUCGGAAUUACUGGGCGUAAAGGGCGCGUAGGCGGCCUUGAUAGUUAGACGUGGAAGCCCUGGGCUUAACCUGGGAAUGGCGUUUAAUACUGCAAGGCUAGAGUAUAGGAUAGGCAAGUGGAAUUUUCAGUGUAGAGGUGAAAUUCGUAGAUAUUGAGAAGAACACCAAUGGCGUAGGCAGCUUGCUGGACUAUUACUGACGCUAAGGCGCGAGAGCAUGGGGAGCAAACAGG
rnacentral:rRNA from 1 species